UGAAAUCAAUUUCAUGGGCUGCA
rnacentral:piRNA from 2 species